rnacentral:tRNA from 1 species
GCAGUGAUGGUUCCGUGGUAGAUGACCUCCCUUCCAUGUGGGAGACCUGGGUUCAAUUCCCAGCCAUUGUA